GCUUACGGCCAUACCACCCUGAACGCGCCCGAUCUCGUCCGAUCUCGGAAGCUAAGCAGGGUCGGGCCUGGUUAGUACCUGGAUGGGAGACCGCAUGGGAAUACCAGGUGCGGUAAGCC
rnacentral:rRNA from 15 species